UACGGAGGGUGCAAGCGUUAUCCGGAUUCACUGGGUUCAAAGGGUGCGUAGGCGGGUUGGUAAGUCCGUGGUGAAAUCUCCAAGCUUAACUUGGAAACUGCCGUGGAUACUAUCAAUCUUGAAUAUCGUGGAGGUAAGCGGAAUAUGUCAUGUAGCGGUGAAAUGCUUAGAUAUGACAUAGAACACCAAUUGCGUAGGCAGCUUACUACACGAUCAUUGACGCUGAGGCACGAAAGCGUGGGGAGCAAACAGG
rnacentral:rRNA from 1 species